GGGUUGUGAGGUUAAGCGACUAAGCGUACACGGUGGAUGCCCUGGCAGUCAGAGGCGAUGAAGGGCGUGCUAAUCUGCGAUAAGCGCCGGUAAGGUGAUAUGAACCGUUAUAACCGGCGAUACCCGAAUGGGGAAACCCAGUGUGAUUCGUCACACUAUCAUUAACUGAAUCCAUAGGUUAAUGAGGCGAACCGGGGGAACUGAAACAUCUAAGUACCCCGAGGAAAAGAAAUCAACCGAGAUUCCCCCAGUAGCGGCGAGCGAACGGGGAGGAGCCCAGAGCCUGAAUCAGCAUGUGUGUUAGUGGAAGUGUCUGGAAAGGCGCGCGAUACAGGGUGACAGCCCCGUACACAAAAGCGCAUGUGCUGUGAGCUCGAUGAGUAGGGCGGGACACGUGGUAUCCUGUCUGAAUAUGGGGGGACCAUCCUCCAAGGCUAAAUACUCCUGACUGACCGAUAGUGAACCAGUACCGUGAGGGAAAGGCGAAAAGAACCCCGGCGAGGGGAGUGAAAAAGAACCUGAAACCGUGUACGUACAAGCAGUGGGAGCCCCACCACCAAAGCAUUCUCUGGUGUUGAAGGCCCUGCAAAGCAGCAUCGCGGUGGCGGAGCGUCGUUUGCGACGCCCAACACACAAAACAAGCGGUGAGUGCUUUGGGGUGGGGUGACUGCGUACCUUUUGUAUAAUGGGUCAGCGACUUAUAUUCUGUAGCAAGGUUAACCGUAUAGGGGAGCCGCAGGGAAACCGAGUCUUAAUUGGGCGUUAAGUUGCAGGGUAUAGACCCGAAACCCGGUGAUCUAGCCAUGGGCAGGUUGAAGGUUGGGUAACACUAACUGGAGGACCGAACCGACUAAUGUUGAAAAAUUAGCGGAUGACCUGUGGCUGGGGGUGAAAGGCCAAUCAAACCGGGAGAUAGCUGGUUCUCCCCGAAAGCUAUUUAGGUAGCGCCUCGUGAAUUCAUCUCCGGGGGUAGAGCACUGUUUCGGCUAGGGGGCCAUCCCGGCUUACCAACCCGAUGCAAACUGCGAAUACCGGAGAAUGUUAUCACGGGAGACACACGGCGGGUGCUAACGUCCGUCGUGAAGAGGGAAACAACCCAGACCGCCAGCUAAGGUCCCAAAGUCAUGGUUAAGUGGGAAACGAUGUGGGAAGGCCCAGACAGCCAGGAUGUUGGCUUAGAAGCAGCCAUCAUUUAAAGAAAGCGUAAUAGCUCACUGGUCGAGUCGGCCUGCGCGGAAGAUGUAACGGGGCUAAACCAUGCACCGAAGCUGCGGCAGCGACGCUUAUGCGUUGUUGGGUAGGGGAGCGUUCUGUAAGCCUGCGAAGGUGGCCUGUGAGGGUUGCUGGAGGUAUCAGAAGUGCGAAUGCUGACAUAAGUAACGAUAAAGCGGGUGAAAAGCCCGCUCGCCGGAAGACCAAGGGUUCCUGUCCAACGUUAAUCGGGGCAGGGUGAGUCGACCCCUAAGGCGAGGCCGAAAGGCGUAGUCGAUGGGAAACGGGUUAAUAUUCCCGUACUUGGUGUUACUGCGAAGGGGGGACGGAGAAGGCUAUGUUGGCCGGGCGACGGUUGUCCCGGUUUAAGCGUGUAGGUGUGUGUUCCAGGUAAAUCCGGUUCACUUUAACACUGAGGCGUGACGACGAGGCACUACGGUGCUGAAGCAACAAAUGCCCUGCUUCCAGGAAAAGCCUCUAAGCAUCAGGUAACAUCAAAUCGUACCCCAAACCGACACAGGUGGUCAGGUAGAGAAUACCAAGGCGCUUGAGAGAACUCGGGUGAAGGAACUAGGCAAAAUGGUGCCGUAACUUCGGGAGAAGGCACGCUGACACGUAGGUGAAGUGAUUUACUCACGGAGCUGAAGUCAGUCGAAGAUACCAGCUGGCUGCAACUGUUUAUUAAAAACACAGCACUGUGCAAACACGAAAGUGGACGUAUACGGUGUGACGCCUGCCCGGUGCCGGAAGGUUAAUUGAUGGGGUCAGCGCAAGCGAAGCUCCUGAUCGAAGCCCCGGUAAACGGCGGCCGUAACUAUAACGGUCCUAAGGUAGCGAAAUUCCUUGUCGGGUAAGUUCCGACCUGCACGAAUGGCGUAAUGAUGGCCAGGCUGUCUCCACCCGAGACUCAGUGAAAUUGAACUCGCUGUGAAGAUGCAGUGUACCCGCGGCAAGACGGAAAGACCCCGUGAACCUUUACUAUAGCUUGACACUGAACAUUGAGCCUUGAUGUGUAGGAUAGGUGGGAGGCUUUGAAGUGUGGACGCCAGUCUGCAUGGAGCCGACCUUGAAAUACCACCCUUUAAUGUUUGAUGUUCUAACGUGGACCCGUGAUCCGGGUUGCGGACAGUGUCUGGUGGGUAGUUUGACUGGGGCGGUCUCCUCCUAAAGAGUAACGGAGGAGCACGAAGGUUGGCUAAUCCUGGUCGGACAUCAGGAGGUUAGUGCAAUGGCAUAAGCCAGCUUGACUGCGAGCGUGACGGCGCGAGCAGGUGCGAAAGCAGGUCAUAGUGAUCCGGUGGUUCUGAAUGGAAGGGCCAUCGCUCAACGGAUAAAAGGUACUCCGGGGAUAACAGGCUGAUACCGCCCAAGAGUUCAUAUCGACGGCGGUGUUUGGCACCUCGAUGUCGGCUCAUCACAUCCUGGGGCUGAAGUAGGUCCCAAGGGUAUGGCUGUUCGCCAUUUAAAGUGGUACGCGAGCUGGGUUUAGAACGUCGUGAGACAGUUCGGUCCCUAUCUGCCGUGGGCGCUGGAGAACUGAGGGGGGCUGCUCCUAGUACGAGAGGACCGGAGUGGACGCAUCACUGGUGUUCGGGUUGUCAUGCCAAUGGCACUGCCCGGUAGCUAAAUGCGGAAGAGAUAAGUGCUGAAAGCAUCUAAGCACGAAACUUGCCCCGAGAUGAGUUCUCCCUGAGACUUUAGGUCUCCUGAAGGAACGUUGAAGACGACGACGUUGAUAGGCCGGGUGUGUAAGCGCAGCGAUGCGUUGAGCUAACCGGUACUAAUGAACCGUGAGGCUUAACCUUACAACGCCGAAG
rnacentral:rRNA from 1 species